UGAGGAAUAUUGGUCAAUGGGCGAGAGCCUGAACCAGCCAAGUAGCGUGCAGGAAGACGGCCCUAUGGGUUGUAAACUGCUUUUAUGUGGGGAUAAAGUGCGUGACGUGUCAUGCAUUGCAGGUACCACAUGAAUAAGGACCGGCUAAUUCCGUGCCAGCAGCCGCGGUAAUACGGAAGGUCCGGGCGUUAUCCGGAUUUAUUGGGUUUAAAGGGAGCGUAGGCUGUCUAUUAAGCGUGUUGUGAAAUAUACCGGCUCAACCGGUGGCUUGCAGCGCGAACUGGUCGACUUGAGUAUGCAGGAAGUAGGCGGAAUUCAUGGUGUAGCGGUGAAAUGCUUAGAUAUCAUGACGAACUCCGAUUGCGCAGGCAGCUUACUGUAGCAUAACUGACGCUGAGGCUCGAAAGUGCGGGUAUCAAACAGG
rnacentral:rRNA from 1 species